rnacentral:rRNA from 1 species
UACGAAGGGGGCUAGCGUUGCUCGGAAUCACUGGGCGUAAAGGGUGCGUAGGCGGGUUUUUAAGUCAGAGGUGAAAUCCUGGAGCUCAACUCCAGAACUGCCUUUGAUACUGAAAGUCUUGAGUAUGGGAGAGGUGAGUGGAACUGCGAGUGUAGAGGUGAAAUUCGUAGAUAUUCGCAAGAACACCAGUGGCGAAGGCGGCUCUCUAGUACGGUACUGACGCUGAGACGCGAAAGCGUGGGGAGCGAACAGG